AAGUGACCACCUUUAGGGACCUCAUGGUUUAUAAUCCAUGGUAGUUGGUGGCACAAACAUCUUUACAGUUGAAAGACAUCACUUUGUCUUCAUAACCUUUCCUUAUUUGAAUAGAAGAAGAGCUCUUUUCGGGUCCAGAUGGAAACAAGCAGGUAGGUCGGCCGGCCCAAAGUCCUAGUCGCCGAAGGCCACCAAAACAUCGCUUCACAGACCUAUCCACUCCACCUCUAGCAGAAGUUCAAAGCAUAUCUCAAGAAAAUACAACACUACACAGAACACUUAACAGCUCCUAAAAUAACAACCUCCAUGCAAGGAAGAACUGAUAGCAAAUUUUCUUCCCAUGAAGGUACAACAAACCUAACAAGAUAAACUAGAUUUAAGAGGAGAACAAGUAUAAUUCCCUGUAUGAAGUGAGAGAUUGUUAUAAUAGACAGAAAGUACCUAAAAAGGAUCUCACAGGUCAGGUUAUCCACUUCGAAGUUCACUUAGCAAAGAUCUCUCCACGACAAUCACCAUAGCAAGGAGAGAACCAACUUUGUGUAAAAUCUCUAGUGGAGGGAAAAAAAAUACAUCUCAUGAGGCAACUCAUCUAGAGAACUCUGAUUCUUAUAGAACCUGCAUAUCACUCCUAGAGAGAAAUAUCCUUUUUAAUGAUAUUUAUACUCUCACCACCCUCCUGAUUACAUACCUUUUAACACUAUAAUCAUUUAUGUAGAAGAUGUAUCCUCUCCUCCAUUUAUACCUUCAAAAGAUCAAGUAGUGGGUGAGUUAAGGGAAGUGACGGUCCAAUACAAAACAUGUGUUGAGAGAGGAAGAGGUAGACGACCUAUAUUAAAACCUAACCCUAGACCUCCUUGAGAUUAGUGGGAGCCAAAUCUUAAAAAAAGAAACCUCAUUGUUGGUCUCUAAAGAGAAUUUAUGGACCAAUCUCAUAUAGGUAAGGGAAGGCAACUUCAGGACCAAGCAAGCAAAAGCCUUCCAAAGGAAAAUCUUAGUCUAUUGGGGAAGGGUCUACCUUAAGAAGUGACACUUCUUCCUAAGCUGGUACAAACAAACUUAAAAUAUAUGUAGUUCCUGCAAUAUAGUUCCAACUCCUUAAGAAUAGUGAGCUGGAACUGUUGUGGUUUGGGGGACUCCAUGAAAGUCUAGAGAUUCAAUAAAUUUAUAAGAACUUUUUCCGUGACUUACUGUUUUUCUUGAGAGGCUUUAGUGGAUGAAAUAUGCCUCUAAUCAUCUAGUUCCUCCUCUUUCACCAGGAGCUACAGGUUUGGCCCUUUUUUUUUUUUCUAGAAACAUCAUAUUGUAGAGGAAAUUAUCAAGUCCUGCAAAAACUUUAUUGAUAAGAGUAAAAGAAAACGGUAGAAAUGUUUUCUCCACCUUCUGAUAUGGGGACCCUGAAAAGGCAAAAAUAAUUUAGGCAAAGCAAAAAAAAACAGCUAAUACGUUAUAAACUUUUAAUUAUUUCACUUGUAUUCGCCAUAAAUUGCAAUUACUUUUUCCUAAAAUUAAGCCUCGAUUUAAUCAUCUUCGGCCGUUACUUUAUAUAUAUAAAAAUUCAAGUAGAGCCAAAAGUAACCUAAUUUAAUAUAUAUAUAUAUAUAUAUAUUGUAAUCAAGUAGCUAUUGUAACGUCUAAGAGAAGUGUUGAAUUCUAAACAAGUUGGGUAUUAGAUUUGGAAUAGUAAAUAGACUAGAUUUGUUUACUAGGAAAUUAUAAAAGAUCAUAUAUCAACAUAUCAAAAUCCAUUAAAAAUUAGUCAUGACGAUAAAUUUAGGAGAAAUAUGGCCAUAUGAAUUACCUUUUCUUGUAGUAGUAAAAAAUGACAAAAAUACAAAUAAUUUACAAAUACAAUUUCAAUUGUUGUAAUUAAAAUCAAUGACGAAUAAAUUAGAAAUCAUGACUUACUCUCUGCCUCAACGAUCGCAUUUUUGUCUGUACAUUGGUAGAUCUCUCCUAAAAGAAGUUAUUUUAAAAUUGCUUCGCAUACUCUAUCGUAGUGUAUGAUCAAGUGACUACCUUUAGGGACCUCAUGGUUUCUAAUACAUGGUAGUUGGUGGCACAAAUAUCCUUACAACUGAAACGACAUCACUUUGUCUUCAUAACCUUUCCAUAUUUGGAUAGAAGAAGAGCUCUUUUCGGGUCCAGAUGGAAACAAGUCAGGUAGGUCGGCCGGCUCAAAGUCCCAGUCGCCGAAGGCCACCAGAAAACCGCUUCUCACCAUCGCAAAGUAAGACAACAACUUAUAGAAUUAAUGAAAU
rnacentral:lncRNA from 1 species